AGGAAAGAGGAAGUCUUCGUCGAGGGGACGAUUAGACUUUGAGGCCUUCCUGUCUAAUGGCAGAACCGAGGCCUGGUGGAGGAUGCUGGGAGCAGGGCUGAUAAUGUGCCUGGGAGAUCUGGUUCUGUUUCAAAGGUCAGCGUCAUUACAGAGCAGCAGAUAAACGUGAGGUCAAAGAUUCCUCCGGACAAAGACACCUUUAAGAGCCCAAUUCCAUGUGACUGCCCGUGGCGCCAAACCCUGUGAGGUGACAUCUGCCGGGCACGAUCCUGGUGUGAAGCUUUUUUUGUCCUUGGGCGGGAUAAUACGAUAGGUGCACACAUGCAGAGAUUCAGGUA